UACAGAGGUCUCAAGCGUUGUUCGGAUUCAUUGGGCGUAAAGAGCGUGUAGGCGGCCUGUUAAGUCUUGCGUGAAAUCUCGGGGCUCAACCCCGAGCGGUCGUGAGAAACUGGCAGGCUAGAGUGCGGGAGAGGAGAGUGGAAUUCCUGGUGUAGCGGUGAAAUGCGCAGAUAUCAGGAAGAACACCCGUGGCGAAAGCGGCUCACUGGACCACAACUGACGCUGAUGCGCGAAAGCGUGGGGAGCAAACAGG
rnacentral:rRNA from 1 species